rnacentral:rRNA from 1 species
GGAGUUGAUCCGUGGCUCGAGGACGACGCUGGCGGCGUGCCUAACACAUGCAAGUCGAGCGGAGGGAAGGGCUUCGGCCCCGAACUUAGCGGCGGACGGGUGAGUAACGCGUGAGCAACCUGUCCCAGACAGGGGGAUACCAGAUGGAAACAUCUGCUAAUACCGCAUAAGACCACGGUUUCGCAGUGGGACAGUGGUAAAAGGAGGAAUCCGGUUGGGGUGGGCUCGCGUCCGAUUAGCUGGUUGGUGAGGUAACGGCCCACCAAGGCGACGAUCGGUAGCCGACCUGAGAGGGUGAUCGGCCACAUUGGAACUGAGACACGGUCCAAACUCCUACGGGAGGCAGCAGUGGGGAAUAUUGGGCAAUGGGCGAAAGCCUGACCCAGCAACGCCGCGUGAGGGAAGAAGGUUUUCGGAUUGUAAACCUCUGUCCUAAGUGACGAAGGAAGUGACGGUAGCUUAGGAGGAAGCCCCGGCUAACUACGUGCC